AGAGUUUGAUCAUGGCUCAGAUUGAACGCUGGCGGCAGGCCUAACACAUGCAAGUCGAGCGGUAGCACAGAGAGCUUGCUCUCGGGUGACGAGCGGCGGACGGGUGAGUAAUGUCUGGGAAACUGCCUGAUGGAGGGGGAUAACUACUGGAAACGGUAGCUAAUACCGCAUAAUGUCGCAAGACCAAAGUGGGGGACCUUCGGGCCUCAUGCCAUCAGAUGUGCCCAGAUGGGAUUAGCUAGUAGGUGGGGUAACGGCUCACCUAGGCGACGAUCCCUAGCUGGUCUGAGAGGAUGACCAGCCACACUGGAACUGAGACACGGUCCAGACUCCUACGGGAGGCAGCAGUGGGGAAUAUUGCACAAUGGGCGCAAGCCUGAUGCAGCCAUGCCGCGUGUGUGAAGAAGGCCUUCGGGUUGUAAAGCACUUUCAGCGGGGAGGAAGGCGGUGAGGUUAAUAACCUCAUCGAUUGACGUUACCCGCAGAAGAAGCACCGGCUAACUCCGUGCCAGCAGCCGCGGUAAUACGGAGGGUGCAAGCGUUAAUCGGAAUUACUGGGCGUAAAGCGCACGCAGGCGGUCUGUCAAGUCGGAUGUGAAAUCCCCGGGCUCAACCUGGGAACUGCAUUCGAAACUGGCAGGCUAGAGUCUUGUAGAGGGGGGUAGAAUUCCAGGUGUAGCGGUGAAAUGCGUAGAGAUCUGGAGGAAUACCGGUGGCGAAGGCGGCCCCCUGGACAAAGACUGACGCUCAGGUGCGAAAGCGUGGGGAGCAAACAGGAUUAGAUACCCUGGUAGUCCACGCCGUAAACGAUGUCGAUUUGGAGGUUGUGCCCUUGAGGCGUGGCUUCCGGAGCUAACGCGUUAAAUCGACCGCCUGGGGGAGUACGGCCGCAAGGUUAAAACUCAAAUGAAUUGACGGGGGCCCGCACAAGCGGUGGAGCAUGUGGUUUAAUUCGAUGCAACGCGAAGAACCUUACCUGGUCUUGACAUCCACAGAACUUUCCAGAGAUGGAUUGGUGCCUUCGGGAACUGUGAGACAGGUGCUGCAUGGCUGUCGUCAGCUCGUGUUGUGAAAUGUUGGGUUAAGUCCCGCAACGAGCGCAACCCUUAUCCUUUGUUGCCAGCGGUCCGGCCGGGAACUCAAAGGAGACUGCCAGUGAUAAACUGGAGGAAGGUGGGGAUGACGUCAAGUCAUCAUGGCCCUUACGACCAGGGCUACACACGUGCUACAAUGGCAUAUACAAAGAGAAGCGACCUCGCGAGAGCAAGCGGACCUCAUAAAGUAUGUCGUAGUCCGGAUUGGAGUCUGCAACUCGACUCCAUGAAGUCGGAAUCGCUAGUAAUCGUAGAUCAGAAUGCUACGGUGAAUACGUUCCCGGGCCUUGUACACACCGCCCGUCACACCAUGGGAGUGGGUUGCAAAAGAAGUAGGUAGCUUAACCUUCGGGAGGGCGCUUACCACUUUGUGAUUCAUGACUGGGGUGAAGUCGUAACAAGGUAACCGUA
rnacentral:rRNA from 4 species